UGUUGGUGAGGUAAUGGCUCACCAAGGCGUCGACGGGUAGCCGGCCUGAGAGGGUGACCGGCCACACUGGGACUGAGACACGGCCCAGACUCCUACGGGAGGCAGCAGUGGGGAAUAUUGCACAAUGGGCGAAAGCCUGAUGCAGCAACGCCGCGUGAGGGACGACGGCCUUCGGGUUGUAAACCUCUUUUAGCAAGGAAGAAGCGAAAGUGACGGUACUUGCAGGAAAAGCGCCGGCUAACUACGUGCCAGCAGCCGCGGUAAUACGUAGGGCGCAAGCGUUAUCCGGAAUUAUUGGGCGUAAAGAGCUCGUAGGCGGUUUGUCGCGUCUGCUGUGAAAACCCGAGGCUCAACCUCGGGCCUGCAGUGGGUACGGGCAGACUAGAGUGCGGUAGGGGAGAUUGGAACUCCUGGUGUAGCGGUGGAAUGCGCAGAUAUCAGGAAGAACACCGAUGGCGAAGGCAGAUCUCUGGGCCGUAACUGACGCUGAGGAGCGAAAGGGUGGGGAGCAAACAGGCUUAGAUACCCUGGUAGUCCACCCCGUAAACGUUGGGAACUAGUUGUGGGGUCCAUUCCACGGAUUCCGUGACGCAGCUAACGCAUUAAGUUCCCCGCCUGGGGAGUACGGAAUCUCUAGAGGAUCCC
rnacentral:rRNA from 1 species